CACGUAGGCGGCCCGCUAAGUGUGGAGUGAAAUCCCACGGCUUACCCGUGGAACUGCUUUGCAUACUGGCGAGCUCGAGGACGGUAGGGGAGAGCGGAACUCUUGGUGGAGCGGUGAAAUGCGUAGAUAUCAAGAGGAACACCAAUGGCGAAGGCAGCUCUCUGGUCCGUUUCUGACGCUGAGGUGCGAAAGCUAGGGUAGCGAACAGGAUUAGAUACCCUGGUAGUCC
rnacentral:rRNA from 1 species